UUUUGACUGAAGCUUCGACCUAGUAUCAGAGUUUGCACAACCAGCCAGUCCAGUCUGCAUCAUGUGCAUCAUAGCAUAUUUAUUUUUCAAAAGAAACGCAUUGAAAAAAAUAUUGAAAAAAGAAAAGGAAAAAAGAAGAAAAAAAACUAAUCUCUGCAUGCAUAUCAUUUCUGAGGUACAUUCCCGAGCUUGACUACUGAUAGAGAUGGCGAC
rnacentral:lncRNA from 1 species